GAUGAACGCUAGCGGCAGGCCUAACACAUGCAAGUCGAGGGGUAACUAGAGUGAUAGCAAUAUUACUUUGGCUAGACCGGCGCACGGGUGCGUAACACGUAUGCAACCUACCUUAUACUGGGGAAUAACUUCGAGAAAUCGGCGCUAAUACCCCAUAACACUGCGGAGAGGCAUCUCUUUGCAGUUAAAGCUCCGGCGGUAUAAGAUGGGCAUGCGUCCGAUUAGCUAGUUGGUGAGGUAACGGCUCACCAAGGCUACGAUUGGUAGGGGUUCUGAGAGACUGACCCCCCACACUGGUACUAAGCCCCGCACCAGACUCUUACGGGAGGAGGCGGUGAGAAAUGUGGCCCAAUGGCCGAAAGUCUGACGCACCCAUGCCGCGUGCAGGAUGGCGCCCCUAUGGUUUGUAAACUGCUUUUGUACGGGAAUAAACCCUUCUACGUGUAGGAGGCUGAAGGUACCGUAAGAAUAAGCACCGGCUAACUCCGUGCCAGCCCCCCCCGUAA
rnacentral:rRNA from 1 species